AGGAAUAUUGGUCAAUGGGCGCAAGCCUGAACCAGCCAAGUAGCGUGAGGGAAGACUGCCCUAUGGGUUGUAAACCUCUUUUGUGCGGGGAUAAAGUGUGGGACGUGUCCCAUAUUGCAGGUACCGCACGAAUAAGGACCGGCUAAUUCCGUGCCAGCAGCCGCGGUAAUACGGAAGGUCCGGGCGUUAUCCGGAUUUAUUGGGUUUAAAGGGAGCGUAGAUGGAUGUUUAAGUCAGUUGUGAAAGUUUGCGGCUCAACCGUAAAAUUGCAGUUGAUACUGGAUAUCUUGAGUGCAGUUGAGGCAGGCGGAAUUCGUGGUGUAGCGGUGAAAUGCUUAGAUAUCACGAAGAACUCCGAUUGCGAAGGCAGCCUGCUAAGCUGCAACUGACAUUGAGGCUCGAAAGUGUGGGUAUCAAACAGGAUUAGAUACCCUGGUAGUCCACACGGUAAACGAUGAAUACUCGCUGUUUGCGAUAUACUGCAAGCGGCCAAGCGAAAGCGUUAAGUAUUCCACCUGGGGAGUACGCCGGCAACGGUGAAACUCAAAGGAAUUGACGGGGGCCCGCACAAGCGGAGGAACAUGUGGUUUAAUUCGAUGAUACGCGAGGAACCUUACCCGGGCUUAAAUUGCAGAUGAAUUACGGUGAAAGCCGUAAGCCGCAAGGCAUCUGUGAAGGUGCUGCAUGGUUGUCGUCAGCUCGUGCCGUGAGGUGUCGGCUUAAGUGCCAUAACGAGCGCAACCCUUGUUGUCAGUUACUAACAGGUUCCGCUGAGGACUCUGACAAGACUGCCAUCGUAAGAUGUGAGGAAGGUGGGGAUGACGUCAAAUCAGCACGGCCCUUACGUCCGGGGCUACACACGUGUUACAAUGGGGGGUACAGAGGGCCGCUACCACGCGAGUGGAUGCCAAUCCCCAAAACCUCUCUCAGUUCGGACUGGAGUCUGCAACCCGACUCCACGAAGCUGGAUUCGCUAGUAAUCGCGCAUCAGCCACGGCGCGGUGAAUACGUUCCCG
rnacentral:rRNA from 1 species